rnacentral:snRNA from 1 species
GUCACUUCUCAGUCUUUUGGCUAAGGUCAAGUGUAGUAUCUGUUCUUAUCAAUUUUUAAUAUGCAAUCAGCCCUCAGUAUCCAGGGGUUCUGUAUUCAUGGAUUCAACCAAC